rnacentral:rRNA from 1 species
CGAAAGCCUGACGGAGCAAGACCGCGUGAGGGAGGAAGGCUCUAGGGUUGUAAACCUCUUUUAUCAGGGAAGAAGCUCUGACGGUACCUGAGGAAUCAGCAUCGGCUAACUCCGUGCCAGCAGCCGCGGUAAUACGGAGGAUGCAAGCGUUAUCCGGAAUCAUUGGGCGUAAAGCGUCCGCAGGUGGGAGUUCAAGUCGAUUGUCAAAGGCAGUAGCUUAACUACUGAAAGGCAGUGGAAACUGAACAACUAGAGUGCGGUAGGGGUAGAGGGAAUUCCCGGUGUAGCGGUGAAAUGCGUAGAGAUCGGGAAGAACACCAGUGGCGAAAGCGCUCUGCUGGACCGGCACUGACACUCAGGGACGAAAGCUAGGGUAGCG